GAUGAACGCUGGCGGCGUGCCUAAUACAUGCAAGUCGAGCGAACGGACGAGAAGCUUGCUUUUCUGAUGUUAGCGGCGGACGGGUGAGUAACACGUGGAUAACCUACCUAUAAGACUGGGAUAACUUCGGGAAACCGGAGCUAAUAACGGAUAAUAUUUUGAACCGCAUGGUUCAAAAGUGAAAGACGGUCUUGCUGUCACAUAUAGAUGGAUCCGCGCUGCAUUAGCUAGUUGGUAAGGUAACGGCGCACCAAGGCAACGAUGCAUAGCCGACCUGAGAGGGUGAUCGGCCACACUGGAACUGAGACACGGUCCAGACUCCUACGGGAGGCAGCAGUAGGGAAUCUUCCGCAAUGGGCGCAAGCCUGACGGAGCAACGCCGCGUGAGUGAUGAAGGUCUUCGGAUCGUAAAACUCUGUUAUUAGGGAAGAACAUAUGUGUAAGUAACUGUGCACAUCUUGACGGUACCUAAUCAGAAAGCCACGGCUAACUACGUG
rnacentral:rRNA from 1 species